AUCAGUGGCGGACCCGCCGCGGCUCCGAGCGUAGUAGUAAAAUAUCUCGCUAUGGAGGCCCGUGGAGGGAUUACCGGCCGUAAAACCUCUUCUUUACGGAAGAACUUCUCAAGGUUGACCUCGGAUCAGGUAGGAAUACCCGCUGAACUUAAGCAUAUCAAUAAGCGGAGGAAAAGAAACCAACAGGGAUUGCCCCAGUAACGGCGAGUGAAGCGGCAACAGCUCAGAUUUGAAAUCUGGUCCCCAGGGCCCGAGUUGUAAUCUGUAGAGGAUGUUUCUGGCAAGGCGCCGUCCGAGUUCCCUGGAACGGGACGCCGGAGAGGGUGAGAGCCCCGUACAGGCGGACGCCGAGCCUCUGUGAAACUCCUUCGACGAGUCGAGUAGUUUGGGAAUGCUGCUCAAAGCGGGAGGUAAAUUUCUUCUAAAGCUAAAUAUAGGCCAGAGACCGAUAGCGCACAAGUAGAGUGAUCGAAAGAUGAAAAGCACUUUGAAAAGAGGGUUAAAAAGCACGUGAAAUUGUUGAAAGGGAAGCGCCUGUGACCAGACUCGCGCCCGGCGUAUCAUCCGGCGUUCUCGCCGGUGCACUACGUCGGGCUCGGGCCAGCAUCGGUUCUAGCGGGGGGAUAAAGGCGGCGGGGAUGUGGCUCCCCCGGGAGUGRUAUAGCCCGCCGCUCAAUGCCCCCGCCGGGACCGAGGACCGCGCAU
rnacentral:rRNA from 1 species